rnacentral:rRNA from 1 species
UACGUAGGGGGCAAGCGUUGUCCGGAAUCAUUGGGCGUAAAGCGCGUGUAGGCGGCCCGGUAAGUCCGCUGUGAAAGUCCAGGGCUCAACCCUGGGAUGCCGGUGGAUACUGUCGGGCUCGAGUCCGGAAGAGGCGAGUGGAAUUCCUGGUGUAGCGGUGAAAUGCGCAGAUAUCAGGAGGAACACCGGUGGCGAAGGCGGGUCUCUGGGCCACUACUGACGCUGAGGAGUGAAAGCGUGGGGAGCGAACAGG